UCUUCCUCAAGUAGCUUCAUGAUAAGGUA
rnacentral:piRNA from 1 species